UACGGGGGGGGCAAGCGUUGUUCGGAAUUACUGGGCGUAAAGGGCGCGUAGGCGGUUGGAUAAGUCAGCUGUGAAAACCACGGGCUUAACUCGUGGCCUGCAGUUGAGACUGUCUAGCUAGAGUAUGGGAGAGGGAAGUGGAAUUUCAGGUGUAGCGGUGAAAUGCGUAGAUAUCUGAAGGAACAUCAGUGGCGAAAGCGACUUCCUGGACCAAUACUGACGCUCAUGUGCGAAAGCGUGGGGAGCAAACAGG
rnacentral:rRNA from 1 species